UCCUCAUGUGUGCAACUCAGAAAUGGGGCCAGGUCUGGGAACCCAUGACGAGUGGACUGGGGUGGAGCUCCCAGCCUUCUCCCGAGACCUAGUACUGGCAGGACUGGGAGGUGCUGGUCCUAGGGAAGCUCAAGUGGGACCUGGCUGCUGUGAUUGCACAUGAUUUCCUGGCCCUCAUUCUGCACCGGCUCUCUCUGCCCCGUGACCGACAGGCCUUGGUCAAAAAGCAUGCCCAGACCUUUUUGGCCCUCUGUGCUACAGAUUAUACCUUUGCCAUGUACCCGCCAUCCAUGAUCGCCACGGGCAGC
rnacentral:sRNA from 1 species